CCCUUAGAUGUUCUGGGCCGCACGCGCGCUACACUGAUGCAUUCAACGAGUUUCUUCCUGGUCCGAGAGGAAUGGGUAACCUUUUGAAAGUGCAUCGUGAUAGGGAUAGACUAUUGCAAUUAUCAGUCUUCAACGAGGAAUUCCUAGUAGACGUAGUUCAUCAGACUGCAUCGAUUACGUCCCUGCCCUUUGUACACACCGCCCGUCGCUCCUACCGAUUGAAUGCUCAGGUGAGCCAUUCGGACUUUCAUCAUGCUGGUUUCCAGUUUUGAUGAAGGAAAGUCUUGCGAACCUUAUCAUUUAGAGGAAGGAGAAGUCGUAACA
rnacentral:rRNA from 1 species